GGGAGCAAGCCGCGGCCGGGCCUUCUCUGAGCCUCACCUUCCGCCAGUCUCCCGGUGCGGUAACUGCGCCCGCGCUUUCCCCCCAUGCCAGCAUGCCCCCGUUAGUGGAGGCGGAUCUUUGGAGAGGAGAGGGCUUCUGCAGGUAGUGGAGCCAGGUCCAGACAGAGGAUGCAGCAUGCUCACCCAGCAACAGGCUGGCUCCGUGUCUCACUGCUGUGCCCCAUCUGUGCCCAGGCAGUGCCUGCACCAUCCUGUUCACUCAGGUCUGCCACUUGACACCUGCCUGCAUCUCUCCAAAUCCUCAGAACAGCUGGCUUGGUUUGGCCAAGAACCACCCAACUAAUGCCCAUUUUAUUGAGAAAUACAUAAUUGCAAAUAUUUGCUUUUCUUCAGUAUUUUUUUUCUCCAUUGACAUUGGCUGAUUUACUUUUGCUUCACAGUUCUUGAGGGGAUGCAUGGCUUGGAAAUACAUCCCGAAACAAAGCCUCAGUGGAAAAUAAAUGUGUUUUCUAAAGGUCAGAAUCAGACUGUAACAUCCUACACUAUAUUUUUAAGGUGGGAGGUUGGUUUGAGAGAUACCACUAGCUGUGUGAAACAUUCAGUGUUCAGCACUUUGAGGGAUAGGAGCAGCAAAUGCAAAGGUGCAGCCCAUUGCAGCAAGGGGAGCUCGGUAGGCUUGGACACCAAAGGGGAGGUUGCCCUUGAUUUCAGUGCCAGAUGGGCCUCUGAAACUGAGGCUGACAUGCUGAGCUUGGUGAGAGCCACCUUGCAGGAGCAGGUAAAGGUCAUCCUUCAUCUAAGGCAAUGCAGGAUAGGAAAUGCCAGUGCCAAGGACCCCCUCCUGCCUGCUUUUAUUUGGCAUCUCUUGUGCACAAAGGAUAUCCAGGCUUCACAAAGCUACCCUGCUGCAUAACAGCCCAAUGACUAGGGACGUGCAAAGAGUAGCAGAACACCUCUUCCUCUGGCUUAGAAGCUGUCAUAAAUCACAGUUACUGACCGUGUGAUGAGAGGGUCCCCGUGCAGCUGAAGGAGGGCACAGCUACAGGCACACGUACACCACCCUGUUGGUGGAGCACACCCCACAGCCUUUCUGGGAGUACCUUUGCUCCGUGUCUCAUUGCUGUGUGUUUGUGUCGGUGAGGUUGAGAAGCUGAGCUGAAAUUCAUCCUUCAGCAGAGGCCCAGCACGAGGCUUGCUCACCGCUCGCAUCCCCAGGCCUGCGUACCACUUGCAUCCCAUAGCGCUUAAGUGGAGCCUAAGUGGACCCUGGGCCUUGUGCUGGCGACCUGCCCAGUGCUGGAUUUCAGCUCCGAGUCCAGGCCUGCCGCUCUGAUUCAUGCACAAAAUCCCGCUGAGGUCAGCGGGUUUCAUCCUGCUCCCACCACAGCCCGCGGGACAGUUCACACGAGAGUGGCAGGGUCAGGCUCUGUGUUUGCGUGUGCCACAGAAAAUGGAACAAUUAAGAUUAAACCAAUUAAAUUUUAACAGGUCUGGAAAGCGUUUUAUUACAUAAUAAACUGGAGGGAUUAACUGUG